rnacentral:rRNA from 1 species
UAACACCAUCUCUCCGAGUGAACUGCCAUAUUAGGCCUAAAGCGUGCGCAGCCGGACAGAGUAGUCUUUGGUGAAAUCUAAUCGCUUAACGGUUAGAAUUGCUGGAGAAACCACCUGUCUUGGAAUAGGAAGAGGUUGACGCUACUUAUGGGGUACUGGUGAAAAUGGUUUUAGAUGUAUUCUACAACCAUCACAUUGGGUACAUCCUAUAGGGAGCACCUGUGGCGAAGGCGGUCAACUGGUACUACUUCGACGGUCAGGCACGAAAGCUAGGGGAGCAAAACGGAUUAGAUACCCGUGUAGUCCUAUGCCGUAAACGAUGCUCGUUAAGUGUCCGAAAAUUUUGGAUUUUCGGGUGCUGUUGCGAAGGCUUUAAACGAGCCGCCUGGGGAGUACGUUCGCAAGGAUGAAACUUAAAGCAAUUGACGGGGCUCUACCGGAAUGCGUGAGACUUGCGGUUU